rnacentral:rRNA from 1 species
CCUACGGGAGGCAGCAGUGGGGAAUAUUGCACAAUGGGGGGAACCUUGAUGCAGCAACGCCGCGUGGGUGAAGAAGUACUCCGGUAUGUAAAGCCCUGUCAGCAGGGAAGAAAAUGACGGUACCUGUCCAAGAAGCCCCGGCUAACUACGUGACAGCAGCCGCGGUAAUACGGAGGGGGCAAGCGUUAUCCGGAUUUACUGGGUGUAAAGUGAGCGUAGACGGCAAGGCAAGUCUGGAGUGAAAGCCCGUGGCGCAACCACGGGACUGCUUUGGAAACUGGGUUGCUGGAGUGCAGGAGGGGGAAGCGGAAUUCCUGGUGUAGCGGUGAAAUGCGUAGAUAUUAGGAGGAACACCGGUGGCGAAGGCGGCUUACUGGACUGUAACUGACGUUGAGGCUCGAAGGCGUGGGGAGCAAACAGGAUUAGAUACCCGAGUAGUC